GUCAGUAGUAGAGCACGCUGCUCCACACACACACCCUUAUACACACACAGAGCACAGAAGACGGAAGAAGCUGAGUCAGAAACGUCCACCCUUUCACACACACACUUGCAUGUGUAUAUGGAUAUGUGGCAUUCCUAGACACCAUCUCUAUCUAUCUCUCUCCUUUACUUUACCUUUGGUUGUGCUCUCUCCCUCCCUCUUUCCCUCUUCCCUUCUCCUUCUCUAGUUUUCCUUCUGCUCUGCCUGUCGCUGGCAGUUGUCUGAGAGAGUGUGUGUUGAAGAAAACAGAAGAGAAGAGGUGCAGGACGGGUCAGGAUGCUGUGGACUCUGCAGAUGUAUGCGUCUACAGGUUUCCCUCAGGGCUGACUGAAGACAAGACAAAAACACUCGAGGCACCAGGAUCCUAACACACAGCUUGUCUGUUUUUUUCUCCUUUGGUUCUCAAUCGGUCCAUCAGUUGUUCAUCUUUGUCCUCCUUUUUGGUGCUUUUCCACGGGUUAUUUUGGAAGCCACCCAGAAGAGAAAAUGAGGUCCAGGAUGCCUCAAGCCGCUUUGCAGCCCUUUUUUCUAGGACUGUUGCUGUCACUGGUGGACGCCAAAGGAACCUUCUAUGGAACAGGCCAUGGGAACCCGCUCUAUGGAGGAGGCCAUGGCAACAGAUACAACCUGUACAAGUCUGGAGCCAACUCACACUACAGCCCGGGCAAACCCUUGGGCCGUCACAAAAACCACUGUGCGUAUGUGGUCCAGAAGAACACCACGUGUACGAUUGAGGACGGCAUGGCCACCUACGUGAAGGCAGAGUACACCACCAAGUGCAUCUGGGGUCAGAAGUGUCCUGUCGUCAUGUACCGGACCUUCUACAAGCCUAAGUAUAAGGUGGGCUAUAAGAGAAUUACUGCGCUGGAGUGGAGGUGUUGUCCUGGCUACUCUGGGGAGAACUGCAACGAUGGACCCACCUCUCUGCCCCCUUUCAAAGGGGGUGCCCCACACCGACCAGGGAUCAAGGGGUACCCCCAUGGGCACCCCCAACCUCCCCUGAUCCAAAAACCUGUCCCUGGUGGGGCUAAUCUGGAGCCAGGGAGCCCCUUCCCAAAUCAGCCUAAUAGCAGAACCAUCCCCACUGGACAACUGCCCACCGGGAACGGCAAACCCAACUAUGUUGGUGGAGACCGUCUCGAUCGCAUGGAGGAGGACCUGCUUCGUCUGACCCAGGAUCUGGACAUUCUGAACGGGGUGAUGGCCAGCCUAGAAGACCGCCUGCACCUCUCUCUCCGGGAGGACACAAAAAAUAUGCUGGGCUCCUUGCUCUCCACCGUCCCCCGUCUUUCAGACACCUCGGUUGGCUUUGGGGUGAUCCCAGACGGGACCCCAGAUGGCCUGGAGGGGGGAGAGGGACUCCCUGGGUUCGGAGACCUGGCUGGGAGGGUGACAGAGGUAAAGGAUGAGCUCAAAGCCAAAGGACAUGUGCUUGAGGAGAUACAGGGCAUGGUUCUGGGCCAUGAAGGGCAGCUGAAAAAGUUGUUGGAAGCUGCGACUGGCAGGCCCAUCACUGGGUCAGUCUCUCCCUCCACCCUGGAGGAGCUGCUGGAUGCUAAACUAGCAGGUGUCCGCGCUGACAUCCUGGACGGCUUUGAGAGGCGUCUGUCUGGCCUGGAGAACCACUGUGAGGAGAGGAUAGGAGAGGUCCAGAGACAGUGCCAUAAUGAACACAUGAACGGCCAGGAGCACAUACAGCAGUCUCUGGACGGCAGAGAAACUGGACUGAGAGAGGAGCUGGGUACCCUGCAGGCCCAGAUACAGGGACUGACCCUCACUGAGAGCUGCUGUGGACAGCAGGUGAAUAGCCUGUCACAGAGGAUGUUGAUGCUGGAGGAGUCAGUGAAGGGCUUAAAAGAGUCCCAGCUGGAGCUUCAGGCUUCUCUCACUGACCAGACCAUCCACAUUGAGACCCUGAUAGAGGCCCGUCUGGAAGACAUAGAUGCCAGGCUCAAUGUCACCGAGUCUGGCGACGUAGGGGUUGGUAAGGUGCCUGGGGAUCUGGAUGGCUUCAAGACCCUGCUGAAGGACAAGCUGAAGUCCCUGGAGGAGAGGGUGUUUGUGGCUUUGGAGGAGCUGAGUAACACCACCGCCCCAGCUCUGCUGGAGGGUCAGGUGAUGCCCGCCCUGGAGACAGAGUCGGUCAGGAGGAGGGUUGAAGGAGACCUGGACUGCAUCCAGAGGAAACUCACAGACCUGGAGCUCCUCUGCACCUCCUCCUGCUCCCACGCCACUCCCCCUGGAGGAGGCGCACGGACAGGCCUAGUGGAGGAGUGUGAGGCGGUGGAGAAGAAGGUGUCAGGCCGUCUGGACUCCCAUGCUGACCAGCUGGACCGUCUCAAUACCACCCUGCAGACCCUACUGAGCCGCAUUGCCCAGGAGGACGAGGAAGGCUAUGUCCAGGGAGAGAUCACCCUCCUCAAGAUCAAAGUCAACUCAGUCAACCGCACCCUGAAGGGCCUGAGGGACUCUGUUAGCCUGUUCAGUAAGGAAGUGGGCCAUGCUAAUGCCACGUGGACACACAGGGAGAAUCAGCUAGCCACCCAGGUCCAGGGUAUCACCCAGCUGGUGGGGCGCCAGGCCUACCUCCUGGGGGCCGGGGAGCACCGACUAGCCCAGCUGAAGGGGGAGCUGGUGAGCAUGAGGAGGAGACUGGCUGGGGAGCUGCAGGGCUGCCGGAGUACGGCCCUGGGGGUGCAGAGGGAGGUGGAGGAGGUGGAUAGUCGAGUGGCCCAGGUGGAGGGACAGUGUGGUAGCCUGGGGGAGCUGGCGGACAACCUGGAGAGGAUCAGGACAGAGCUGGAGAGACACUCAGACUUGCACCUGUCACAGGUCAAAGGAACGAUGGCCAGUCACUCCACACAGCUGGCCAAACUGAAGGGAGAAAUGAAAGACUGUGUCGGAAAGGGCUCAGCCAAUCAGAGGGGAGACCAGUAACACUUGUGCUACGGAGAAAGGCGUGUGUCCUCUCAUCUUCUGCUCUCCUUCAUCUGCUCAAAUGGGAAACUUGAAAACAGAUUUAUUCCUGCAUUUUCAGAUCAGUGAAGGAGAGGAGAUGAGUAGAAUAGGCCAUUUGAAGCUAUUGAAAAGCACCCUUGGUUGUAUAGUUGGGCAAUAUUUUCCCUCAAGUUUUUCUUCAAAAGGGGCAUUUAGUUUUUUUCUUAUAGUUUUGUUUUCACAUUUUAUAUUGAUAUUAACUGACUUUUUAACUUAUUUGAAGAAAGGAUGACUUCAUUGUUAUACUGUAUUAGACAUAUUUGUGAAAAAUGAACAACAAAAACAAAGCAAAUAAUAUCCCACUGGGCACAGACGUCAAUUCAAUGUCUAUUCCACAUUUGUUCAACGUAAUUUGAUUGAAAUGAAGUGGAAACAACGUUGAUUCAACCAGUGUGUGCCCAGUGGGUUGGGACUAUGGGUUUCUACCCUGCAAGCACACUCUACUCUCUGUGUGGACUGUCCUUUAAAAAUACUGUAUGUCAAUAUGAAAGGUGCUAUACAUUUGGUUAACAUUCAUUUUUGAGUAUUUCUCCUUAAAGGUCGCGAACAUCAUCAAAAUGACUGUUGAUUCUACAUUGAUAAAGUUGAAUCAUAAAGUCACUGGUCCCCUCCCCCAUGUCAAACGCUUGGAUUCAGGAGGCAGGCCAGAUACUCCUUCCUCUAUCUCUGGACAGGCAUAACCAAGGCUUUACGUCCGGCUUUAUGCAAAGUCACAUGAAGCAGGAAGUGUAAAACCACAACAAUAGCGUCUUAUCAUAUAAACAUAUUAUGUUCUGCCUUACCGACAUCACGUGCGCCUACGCCUUGAUUUGGUCUUGUUAACAAACCAUAAGCCAGUAUCUCGCUCAAACAGAACGUAUGAAGACAUCAGAUAGCCGUGGCUGCUUUUCAUUUCGGGUGGGCAGGCGGCAGCUUUACCAAUUGGGGAGAACAUUCGAUGAGUCGUGCCAAGAAGCUAGUCCUGAAAACGGAUGCCAUCAUAGACAGUGGAUCUUGGAAGCGCUGACCGUAAUGCUACGUAGAGAGGCUCCUAGGUCUCCUCUUCAAUGAGAUCACCUUUGAUCCAGCUCCAUAGGUGAGGAAGCUGUGCGAGCUGUCCAUCGCAGGACACCUGUCUGCCCAGUGUGAGCUGUUGUCUCCCGCUUCAAUCUUUAGGGUGACUGAAGCCUGCUUGAUUGAAGUGGGGUAUAUGGGUUCCUCACCCCUCCCCAUCAAUCUCUGUAGUUGUAUUUCCUGAAUCAUAAGUAAUUAACUUUCACGUGGUAUGAUAUCACAUUUUGUUAUAGAAACGUUUUAAAAAGCAUUUCGGACAGGAGAUGAGUGUUACAAAUUACACAAAUCAAUGGGUCCUGCACACUCUAGGGUGGCCGGGUGCCUAUAUCAGGCACAUGGCUCUAAUUAUGUAUCUGCUGUCAAAUUAUGUCUCACCAUUACUUCUCACCUUUAUUUCUCAUGAGUGUUCUUGUUGAUCUUUUUGCUAUGCUGGCCUAUCAUAGAAUAUAGAAUAAAUGUCUGAUCUUUACAUACAAUCCUGACCAUAUUGUCACUUAUAAUGCUAAUGCAGAGGCACCAAUAAAUUGUCCAGUACACUUAUUGUA